rnacentral:rRNA from 1 species
UACGGGAGGCAGCAGUGGGGAAUAUUGCACAAUGGGCGAAAGCCUGAUGCAGCUAUGCCGCGUGUAUGAAGAAGGCCUUAGGGUUGUAAAGUACUUUCAUCGGGGAGGAAAAACAAAACUAAUAAUUUUAUUUCUUGACGUUACCUGAAAAAGAAGCACCGGCUAACUCCGUGCCAGCAGCCGCGGUAAUACGGAGGGUGCUAGCGUUAAUCAGAAUUACUGGGCGUAAAGAGCACGUAGGUGGUUUUUUUAAGUUCAGAUGUGAAAUCCCUGGGCUUAACCUAGGAACUGCAUUUUGAAACUGAAAUACUAGAGUAUCGUAGAGGGAGGUAGAAUUCUAGGUGUAGCGGUGAAAUGCGUAGAUAUCUGGAGGAAUACCUGUGGCGAAAGCGGCCUCCUAAACGAAUACUGACACUGAGGUGCGAAAGCGUGGGGAGCAAACAGGGAUUAGAUACC